ensembl:lncRNA
AUGGCCCGCACCCUCCUGCUGGGCCUGUUCAGCAUUGAUGUCCUACUGAAGUCCAACCUGACGGGAGGGGUCAACAAGGUCGAUCCAUCUGCAGAGAGACGCCAGCCUCUGGAACCCAAGAAGCUUACAGCUUUACUCAAUGCAGUUGUUCAGCAACACCCAGGGGCGAAGAUUCCAGACAUACGAACGGUCAUAAACAAAAGGAUCUGUGAGUUAAGACACCAGGAGAAGAAAAAGUCCAUGGACAACUGAAGGACUGGCCAAGGCUAGCCAAUCAGAGUGGGUCUUGAUAAGUUAGCAUGCGGGAUCCAUAACACUGCACUAAAGGAUUGUUGUCCUGUUUUUUCCACUUAGGGAUUGUUCUGUUUUUGUUGCACUGAAGACUGUUGUCCUUUAGGAAAUGUUUUAUUAAUUCUUAUAUAUAUUUUUUUAUAUAUUAAAAAAAAAGUAUUUUUGUUCAUUUAUAGUUGUUGUUGGAUCACAUAAAAAUAUAAUGUUUAAAAAAUAUAUAUAUAUUUUAUAGCCUUGAACUAAUUAUGAUAUGGCAUAUAUGGCACAUCCCUACCAGCAAACCAGCUUGCCGUUUGCCGAGCACAUUAUGUACAUUAUGUGUACAUAAGCUUCAGAUGGAACAAUGGUGAUAUGCCUUUCAUUCUGUCUGUUCUCAGGUCACUGUCCCUUCAGCUGCUGCUUUUGAAAUAAACCUCAUUCAGUUACUGUGAACUAUACUGAU